CGAAGCAGGCUCCAGGCUCUAAGCUGUCAGCACAGAGCCCAAUAGGGGGCUUGAACUCAAGAUCUGUGAGAUCAUGACCUGAGUGAAGUUGGUUCCCCAACCGACUGAGCCACUCAGGCGCCCUGGUGAUUAAGCAAAUUUAAAGUAUCCUCCUUCCCUUGCUCCAAAAUGUAGCCUAGCCCUUUCUAGUUACACUUGUGCUUUCAGGUUUACUCUUAUCAUUGGCACAGCGUAUUACCCAGCACUGUAACAAGGUAACCUGUUAAUUAUUAUUUUUAUACGUUUCUGUUUAUUUAGUAAUCUCUACACCCAGCAUGGGGCUCGAUCGAACUCAAGACCCCGAGAUCAAGAGUCAUGCACUCUUCCCACUGAGCCAUCCGGGCACCCCCAGGUGAGAACGUGGGUCGCCUGAGGAGACACAGAUAAAGUGUCAAGGCUGGGAUGAAAUCCCUGUCCCUUGAUGCUACAUUAAUACAGGAUACACAAUUUAGAGGCAUGUUUUAAGUGUAAAAUUAACAAUAAUUUGUUAUAAUGACCACUAAUAUUUAAAUGUUCUCAGCCAUUACUUAAGCUAAGCUAGGAGCUAUCCCUAGAGUUGAUCAGAGUCCCCGAAAAACUUUUAACGUGGAAAUCACCAUCCUAUGGGAGAAAUAUGUACAACCCUUUGAAGGUUUUCAGGUUCUUGUAGGCACUUCUUUUUGUUGUUGUUUUCUUUUUAAUAAACCACUUUAUUGAUGUAUGACUGACAUACAAAAUGCCGUAUGUAUUUAAUGUAUACAAUUUGAUGAUUUGGGAUAUAAGUGUAUACCUAUGAAACCAUCAGCACAAUCUAUGGUAUAAUAAACAUAUCCAUCACCUCCAAAA